CCGGCGCACGGGUGAGUAACACGUAUCCAACCUGCCGUCUACUCUUGGACAGCCUUCUAGAAAAGGAAGAUUAAUACAAGAUGGCAUCAUGAGUUCACAUGUUCACAUGAUUAAAGGUAUUCCGGUAGACGGUGGGGAUGCGUUCCAUUAGAUAGUAGACGGGGUAACGGCCCACCUAGUCUUCGAUGGAUAGGGGUUCUGAGAGGAAGGUCCCCCACAUUGGAACUGAGACACGGUCCAA
rnacentral:rRNA from 1 species